rnacentral:rRNA from 1 species
UGCGCAGGCGGUUAUAUAAGACAGAUGUGAAAUCCCCGGGCUCAACCUGGGAACUGCAUUUGUGACUGUAUAGCUAGAGUACGGCAGAGGGGGAGUGGAAUUCCGCGUGUAGCAGUGAAAUGCGUAGAUAUGCGGAGGAACACCGAUGGCGAAGGCAAUCCCCUGGGCCUCUACUGACGCUCAUGCACGAAAGCGUGGGGAGCAAACA